rnacentral:rRNA from 1 species
GAUGAACGCUGGCGGCGUGCCUAAUACAUGCAAGUCGAGCGAACGGACGAGAAGCUUGCUUCUCUGAUGUUAGCGGCGGACGGGUGAGUAACACGUGGAUAACCUACCUAUAAGACUGGGAUAACUUCGGGAAACCGGAGCUAAUACCGGAUAAUAUUUUGAACCGCAUGGUUCAAAAGUGAAAGACGGUCUUGCUGUCACUUAUAGAUGGAUCCGCGCUGCAUUAGCUAGUUGGUACGGUAACGGCUUACCAAGGCAACGAUGCAUAGCCGACCUGAGAGGGUGAUCGGCCACACUGGAACUGAGACACGGUCCAGACUCCUACGGGAGGCAGCAGUAGGGAAUCUUCCGCAAUGGGCGAAAGCCUGACGGAGCAACGCCGCGUGAGUGAUGAAGGUCUUCGGAUCGUAAAACUCUGUUAUUAGGGAAGAACAUAUGUGUAAGUAACUGUGCACAUCUUGGCGGUACCUAAUCAGAAAGCCACGGCUAACUACGUG